CUUCACGGAACCGAGCAGCAGCGGCGUCUCGCGGCCCUGGCCGUAGGUGGCCAGCAGCGCGUGCGCCUC
rnacentral:antisense_RNA from 2 species